GGGCCGGUAGCUCAGCCCGGUUAGAGCGUCCGCCUGUCACGCGGAAGGUCACGGGUUCAAAUCCCGUCCGGCCCG
rnacentral:tRNA from 1 species